CGGAGGCUAGUGUAAGGGCAACAUUCUCGCUUUGGGAGCGAGCGAUUCCGGGUUCAAAUCCCGGGCCUCCGACCA
rnacentral:tRNA from 1 species